AUGUUGCCCAGCUGGUCAGCUGUGAGAAGGAAGUCACUGAGACAGCAACAUCUACUGUGCGAAGGAGCCCAGAAGCUCAAUAGAAGCCAUGCAGCAGAAGUCCAUAUCCACACUGUAGACCUGGGUGUCCAUUGUGAGGUGCAGCUGGUUCAGUCUGGUGGAGGAUUGGUGCAGCCUGAGGGGUCAUUGAAACUCUCCUGUGCAGCCUCUGGAUUCACCUUCAGUGACUAUGCCUUGUUCUGGUUCCGCCAGGCUCCAGGGAAGGGACUUGAAUGGGUUGGUAGCAUAGACAUUAAAAGUUACAAUUAUGCGACCUACUAUGCCGAUUCAGUAAAAGACAGAUUCACCAUCUCCAGAGAUGAUUCCCAAAGCAUGGCCUACCUGCAAAUGAACAAUCUUAAAACUGAGGACACAGCCACAUAUUAG